UUUAAUAAAUUAUUAUAAAACCUGCUCAAUGAUAAAUUUAAAUAGCCGCGCUAGUGCUAAGGUAGCAAAAUAAUUAGUUUUUUAAUUGAAAAAUAGAAUGAAUGGUUUAAUAAAGUUGAAAUAUUUCUAUAAAAUACAAUGAAAUUAAAUAUUAAGUGAAAAUUCUUAAUAAAAUUUUUUAGACGAGAAGACCCUAUGAAACUUAAAAUUAAUAAAUUUAUUAAUAUGAAUAAUGUAUUUUAUUUUUUGGGGAAAAAUUUAAUAAUAUUAUUAUUAUAAAUAAUUAAAAUAAAAUGAUCCUCUAGGAAUUAUGAAAUAGUUCCUCUAGGGAUAACAGCAUAAUGUUCAUAAAAGAUCUUAUUAAAUUGAAUGUUUGUGACCUCGAUGUUGAAUUAAAUUUUUAUAGAUGUGUAGAAGCUUCUAUAAAGUAGUCUGUUCGACUAAUUAUAU
rnacentral:rRNA from 1 species